UAUGGGAUCGAUCGUUUGGAAAUAAAUUUCCCUUUAUCUCUACCGUGAGUGGCGUGAAUGUUAUGCCGGAUCAUUUUGUUGACAUAAUAACCGUUCAUUGACAUUACCGUUCAAAAAUCAUUAUAACAUUUCUUAAUAAUAUUAUGGUACAUAUAAUUGCCUGUGGUAAUUUCUUUCAAAAAAUAUGGUCAAAGACUGUCCAUUGACUAGUACGACCCGCUUUAACAUCCUUAAAUUUCGUGGUUAGUUUUUCAGUCUGGAGACCGUUUUAAAAAUAGCGAAUGAAGAAAAUUUAUGAAAUAAAGGGACGAUAAAUGAUAUGCGUGCGUGUGUGUAAAUGUGGCAAUCGUGUUUCUCCAAGCCUGUUCUCGAAAAUUAAAUAUUUAAAAUUCAAUAAAAGAGUAAUAACCUAUUUCCCCAAUUGUUGAUAAUUUCAUACAUUUUACGACGUUCAAUUAUGUUUUUAGAGUACGAGGCACUAAGGAAUCUACCGAAUUUAUUCCGGCACCGAAUAAUCAUUCAACAAAUAGAUAUCCUUAUCAAUUUCCUGAAUAAAACAAACAAAACCGCAAACACAUGCUGUACAUGCAUGUGGGAUUAGCAGCUACAGCAGUCGACAAAUGAUAAACCGAUCAAUCAACAAUAAACCUACAUUUUAUACUAAUAUAUUUUAACGUUUUCCAAGCAAGCUAUCGAUCAGAUAAAAUGAACUGCCGGACUGAACGAUUGCUACAAAAGAUUAAUGGCCAUUUUCUCCGACGCGGUUCAAACUCAGUUCAAUUUUUUUUAUAUAGUUUCGAGAUAGGAUGAAUCGAGUUUAAACUCAGAUUAACACUGGAGAAAACGGGCAUAAAAGUUUUAUCCCUUUUCACCAGCCAAGAUGCUAAGGAUUGAUUAAAAUCAGAUAUAAGGAACGAAAAUGUAGGCGAAAAAUACUGGAGCAAAAUGCAGGAUUACGAGCCAGCAUGCCUGCGUUUCACUCAUCAGCUGGUCUACGAUUACGUGAAAAAAGUUUACUAUUUGUUCGGAGACAGCAUCGAGACUCUCUAGUAUCUUCAAAAUGAAGUUUCCGAUAUCAUCGAUCACGAUGACGGGCAACAAACCAAAGAGGUUUUUUUAUUUAUUGAUUUCAACUACUGGCAUCCGUUAUAUUCCGGGAACAGGAGUCAGCCCGAAACAUCGAUUUAUCGUCGUCUUCGAGCACCGAGGAUUCCGAAACAUUUGAAAAAAACGCAAGAAAACUUCACGUCCGUCGAGCCGAAUUGGUAGUCAACAACUCAUUGUCAAUCGCCAAUCGAAUUUGGAGUAGAGGAAAUUAGCGAGCGGUUCAAAAGAAGCAGUCACUGCGUGGCUCAAGAAUGUCCAAAUUUGUUGCGUAAAGAUCUUCUGGAGUUGUUCCCUGGCUGUGUCGAAGUGGCCUCACCGCAGUUUACCAUUAUAACUGUUAGUCAAAAAUUAAGUGAUCAAAGUCACCCGUGGAGCAAGGAAAUGGAAACUGAGAAGCUGGCUAUAUCCCUAUGUUUUACACCGUUCCAAGAGCUAUAGCAACAACCGAGCGAGGUUCGUUCGGGGCUGGUUUUAACAGCGGCUAUUACAUCCGAUCAAGAAACUGAAGAACGUCGGUUGGAAGCUGGUGCUAUGGUUUUUAUGACUGCUGUAACUGCCAACCAUUGAAUUACGAAGAUGCACAAUCCGAGGUUCAGCCUCCACCCUUCUACAAGGACGUUUCAUCGUAAAUCAAGCUGAUCUGGAUAACACGAGCUGGCGUCAAUCCAAAUUGGGAACUCAUAUCACCAAAAGGAUUUAUAGUUUAUACUACCGCUCAAAAGUUUGGGGACGCACGUUGAAAUUUCUUGACGUACCAAAUGUUAAAUUGUUUAAUCGAAAAAAGAGAUAACGGAAUUUUGCGAACGGCAUUUUAAAGGAGACACAUGCAGCUUCAAUUUGCGCCUUAAUAAAAUCUUUUUCAAUUUUUUUUCGGUUCGGUA
rnacentral:lncRNA from 1 species